AUGACUUCACUCUUGUGCACAAAGCUGAGGAAUGCUUCGAGUCCAGCCACACAGGAGACCCUGACUCCCUUCGGGAAGAGAGAGCUGAGUCCAGAGGAGGCCUGCAGAGAGAAGGAAGUUACUAUAGCAGUCCUCAAAAAGUGGAGCAGAAGACCAUCUUGAGGCCAAGUCAGUUCUGUUAACACAAACCUGACGUAUCUCAUCCCAGGAACCAGGAGAUGAUUGCACUGAUGUCACCAGCCAGUCAAUUUCUGAAUGGCACUGUGCAGCCACUGGGCGACUGACAUUCUGCUUGACCCUUGGAGCUACGGGGGUGAACAGGGCACAGUCCCAGGCCAUGGGGAGCUCGCUGAGCCAAGAAAAAUGCAGAUGCGUUCUCCCAAAAACCUCCUCCAAGAACGGCCAUGACAAAUGCCAGACCUGAGGAAAUGACAAGGAAAGGGGAGGCAGACGUGAACAGGUAGUUCUGUUUGUUGUCAUUCUUCUUUAUGACUCUGUACUUUAGGGGAAAGAAGUGCCACCCAAGCUGGCCU